UUUUCGUCUCAUUCGCUCGGAAAGGAUUCCUUUGUCCUUUGAAAUCUGCGUGGAAAGUGGUAAUUUUACUCGCUAGCGUGCAAAGUACGAGUUGAAAUGCGAACGUGACGAACUGUGGUAGGUAUAGUGUCGGCGUAUACUUAGCCUU